GAGCAAAUAAAGAGUUGUUAUUUAUUUGAGCCUAAGUAGUUGUUAUUUGAGCAAAUAAAUAGUUGCUAUUUGAAGCUAUUAAGUUCUGGGAUACUUUGAUUUAUGAUAAUAGAACAUUAAGACACACGAAAAUAACCCUUGCUAUCACAGUGCUAAUCUAGUUUCAAAAAGUGCACAGAGCUGUGAUACUGCUCUCGGCCUGUGUGUGACGUCACUCGGGCCCGUUCCUAUCCCUGCAGAUGCCGGAGACUCGGGGGAGCGGGAGGGAAUCACCGCCUUCAGUUACCUCAGUUUCCCAAGUCGUUCCUGCUGGGGCUUAAGGCAUGACCCCUCCCCAGGCCUGGAAGCUUGGGCAUCCGCCGUGAUUCUCAAACUUUGGGGCAUGCUAGACGUGGUCGUCUGAAGCCACGCUUCUGGAGCUUUAACGUGCGAGUGAGUCACCUGGGGGCCUGUUAAGCGCAGCCGAGAGCGGACUGUUCUAAUGGCCCCGGGGCCACCAACGCUGCAGGGCCGAGCUGGCGCGGGAGGCAAGGGCUGGGCCAGGCGACCCGUCUCGGAACCAGCUUUCUGGACCGUGGCCUCCUGCUGGAACCGCCGGUGGAACGUCACAAAAAGCUCACUCCUUAGCCCCAUCCCCAGAAAUUCCAACCUAACGGGGCUGGGGCGCAGCCUGGGGUCGGACGUACGAACUUUCCUUGUUGACUCCAAGGGGCCGCCCAGGUGGAGGACCCCGUCUGAACGGACUGGCCCUGGCCCUUUGGAAAGGAGGCCCCACCCGCGCAGCCGGCCGCUGCCCCUUCCGCGGAGACUGUGCCUGGCCCCGAACCCGCAGCGUUCCCCUCGGGCGUGGCUGGAACCGCCGCCAGCUGCGGGGCGGCAGGCUCUCGGCGCCGCCGGUGCUCCCCGGGAAGCGGGGCGCGGGCGCCGGCUCAGGUGCAGGACCUCGGCAGGGCGCCAGCCUCGUCCGCCUCACCCCUUCACCUGGAGGACCAUCUCAGGCCGCCUCCGCGCGGUCGGAGCCGGGUCUGGGCGGCGUAUGCCAAGUACCUAGCCGGUGGGAGACUCGGGAAACCAGGGUUCUUACUCCUAAUCGGAGCAGCGAGAGGCCUGCACAGCCCGGGCAGAGAGUGGAGGAGGGUUAAUGGGGGGAUCGCCGCUGCCAGCGUGGACACCAGGCUGGAAGGACGGCUCCUGUGGACGCCGGGCCGGCCACGACGUGACGAGCUUGGUGCAUUACUCAGUGCUGCCCUGCCGGGGAGCCAGGACCUGGACGGCUUCACUUCAAAGGCUCCAACUGUGAAAAACUGAAUAUUUUAUAAUUUCAGGUCCUCUUUAGAACGUACUUUUUCUGUGUUUUGAAGUAAAAGAACCCCAUUAAAACAAAUCAAAACAAAACAAGCUUCAUUGUAUCACUGAGUGUGUAGACUAAACUCCACAUCAACCGGAGAUGGAGAUGGUGCUUGGAUGGAGAUGGUGCAUUUGUUCCUAUGAAAAAGGCAACUUUGUA
rnacentral:lncRNA from 1 species